ensembl:ncRNA T22E6.1 ncRNA
UCUAGAAAACCUUUUUUCUUCUCCCCCCCCCCCAUUCUUCUUAUUUCUGAAUGGUCGCCGAGAUGGGAACAAGUGUUUAUUGUGUGUGUGUCUGACGGGGCGCAUGCCGAAAUAAAUCCCUAAAUAGCUCUUGAUUGUUUGCUGUAACCA